rnacentral:rRNA from 1 species
UACGUAGGGUGCAAGCGUUAAUCGGAAUUACUGGGCGUAAAGCGUGCGCAGGCGGUUAUGUAAGACAGAUGUGAAAUGCCCGGGCUUAACCUGGGAACUGCAUUUGUGACUGCAUGGCUAGAGUUUGGCAGAGGGGGGUAGAAUUCCACGUGUAGCAGUGAAAUGCGUAGAUAUGUGGAGGAACACCGAUGGCGAAGGCAGCCCCCCUGGGCUAAGAUUGACGCUCAUGCACGAAAGCGUGGGGAGCAAACAGG